UACAGAGGGUGCGAGCGUUGUUCGGAAUUAUUGGGCGUAAAGCGCUUGUAGGCGGCUUGUUAAGUUCCGUGUGAAAUCCCCAGGCUUAACCUGGGAAGUGCGCGGAAAACUGGCGAGCUUGAGUGCCGGAGAGGGUCGCGGAAUUCCCGGUGUAGAGGUGAAAUUCGUAGAUAUCGGGGAGGAACACCAGUGGCGAAGGCGGCGACCUGGACGGACACUGAC
rnacentral:rRNA from 1 species